rnacentral:lncRNA from 1 species
AGUUGCGAUUUUCUGUAUAAAACGUGCGUCAAUGGGCCGAAAUUGUGCACAAAAAACCUGCGAAUGGUCGUUUGUGUACAUUCUUCUAGAACUUUUAUUUCCACAUUUAAUUUCUUCAUUCAGUUUCAGGUGCCUCAGUUUGAAAUACCUUAUGGGCCUUAGGAAUAAACCAAACCCCAACCAACAUCAAGGAACAAAAGCCAAGAAAAAAGCUAAGCAAAAAAGUACCUAAACGGACAAAGCAGUCAACACUAAGGUGAUGAACUGUUAUUGACUUACAUAGCAGCUUUUGCCCUGAAAAAGCAGGGCAAAAGUGUAAAUAGUGAAUCGAGAUCAGUUUGAGAUACCUCAUGCAGAAAGGCAAAAUGAAGAAAAUCAUCACAAAAGGAAGAAAUUCAAAAAAUAUUGAAUAGAUGCAGAACCAAGAUGAAGCAGAGAAAAUAACCCUCAAAAAGAACAAAAGUAAUAAAUUGUUAUUGUGAA